UGAGUGAAGUUCCUUCCCAGCUGUAAUUGCCAACUUUGUUUUCUCCACAGGAGCUAAACUGCACAGUGAAGAAUAGUACCUGCCUGGAUGACAGCUGGAUCCACCCUCGAAACCUGACCCCCUCAUCACCAAAAGAUGUCCAGAUCCAGCUGCACUUGGCCUACACCCGGUCUGGAGACCUUGUCCCUGUGGUUCACGUCGAAUGGAUGCUACAGACAGAUGCCAGCAUCUUAUACCUGGAGGGUGCAGAGCUGUCCAUCCUGCAGCUGAACACCAAUGAACGAUUAUGUGUCAAGUUUGAGUUUCUCUCCAGACUGAAGCAUCACCACAGGCGGUGGCGUUUUAACUUCAGUAAUUUUGUGGUGGAACCUGG